rnacentral:rRNA from 1 species
UACGUAGGUGGCAAGCGUUGUUCGGAAUUAUUGGGCGUAAAGGGCGCGUAGGCGGUUGGUUAAGUCAGCUGUGAAAGCCCGGGGCUCAACCCCGGAGGGUCGGCUGAUACUGAUUGACUAGAGUACGGAAGAGGUAGCUGGAAUUCCCGGUGUAGCGGUGAAAUGCGUAGAUAUUGGGAGGAACACCUGAGGCGAAGGCGGGCUACUGGGCCGAUACUGACGCUGAUGCGCGAAAGCCAGGGGAGCGAACGGG